AGUGGCGGACGGGUGAGUAAUGCUUGGGAACUUGCCUUUGCGAGGGGGAUAACCAUUGGAAACGAUGGCUAAUACCGCAUAAUGUUUUCGAACCAAAGUGGGCUUCGGCUCACGCGCAAAGAGAGGCCCAAGUGAGAUUAGCUAGUUGGUAAGGUAAAGGCUUACCAAGGCAACGAUCUCUAGCUGUUCUGAGAGGAAGAUCAGCCACACUGGGACUGAGACACGGCCCAGACUCCUACGGGAGGCAGCAGUGGGGAAUAUUGCACGAUGGGGGGAACCCUGAUGCAGCCAUGCCGCGUGUGUGAAGAAGGCCUUCGGGUUGUAAAGCACUCUCAGUGGUGAGGAAAAGAUAGUAGUUAAUACCUGCUAUCCGUGACGUUAACCACAGAAGAAGCACCGGCUAACUCCGUGCCAGCAGCCGCGGUAAUACGGAGGGUGCGAGCGUUAAUCGGAAUUACUGGGCGUAAAGCGCACGCAGGCGGUUUGUUAAGCUAGAUGUGAAAGCCCGGCGCUUAACGUGGGAUGGUCAUUUAGAACUGGCAGACUAGAGUCUUGGAGAGGGGAGUGGAAUUUCUGGUGUAGCGGUGAAAUGCGUAGAGAUCAGAAGGAACAUCAAUGGCGAAGGCAGCUCUCUGGCCAAAGACUGACGCUCAUGUGCGAAAGUGUGGGUAGCGAACAGGAUUAGAUACCCUGGUAGUCCACACCGUAAACGCUGUCUACUAGCUGUAUGUGUAUU
rnacentral:rRNA from 1 species